UACAGGGACAGAUUAUGAAGACUGCUCUUAUGGUACUGCAUUUGAGGCAUUUGGAGGAGGCAAUAAAGGAAGGGAGGCCUGUGAAGCUAUUGCUGCUCUUUGUGAAACUUCUGCCAUUGAUUCACUGAUAACAAAUUUCAUUAUUCACUGAUAGCUGCUCUUGGUUCGUGACAGCUCCCAUGGGGACGAUAGAGACAAGGAGCCCCUCCUGCUUUGGGGCUUCCCUGUCGCCUUCCCGAGUUAAACUUCAGUCGUAAGCCUUUUCAUGUGCUGCUCCGCCAAUGAGAGAGGUAGAGGAGACACGUCGCGAGUUUGAUAAACAAAGGACGGCACCGAAUCCGGUUGACUUUUUUUACUCUCCCUCUCCUCGAUUUGCCUCUGUUUUCACUCUAUAGAAACCGUUUAAUUGAUAUCGAGUUGAGAUUUUGAGAUGGGGAGAACACCUUGCUGCGACAGAGAUGACCUGAAGAAAGGCCCGUGGACUCCGGAAGAGGACCAAAAGCUCGUUGUCUGCAUCCAGAAGCACGGCCAAGGAAACUGGAGGACUCUGCCUAAGAAAGCUAAGUUGCCGGCUCCGGUGGACGAACUACUUCUGGCCGGACAUCAAGCGAGGAAGGUUCUCGUUUGAAGAGGAAGAGACCAUCAUCCAGCUGCACAGCAUGUUAGGCAACAAGUAGAAUUCUUCUCUAACUUAUUUUUAGUGAGAAUUCUACCUCUGUUUUCAUUCUUCUGCUCUUCCAUAUCUAUUAGCUAUUAACUUUUUGAUGUAAAAAGAAUAUUGUUUA